AACUCUCGAAUUCCAAUGAGGGAUAUGGAAUUUGCCAAAAAUAGUGGGUGGUGCUAUUUGAUUUAAAGACCCAAAUCAAAUGGCUUAAAAUCAAUCAAUUUAUAUUCGUUAUGUAUUUGUUUACCAAUAUAUUUGCAAACGCUAUCCAACACUUGACAAAUAAAAACCGAAAGCUUUAGUUUCCGGACUUGGUACUACAAAACCAUAGAUUGUCUUUAAUGGCUUGUAAAUGU
rnacentral:lncRNA from 1 species